CCGUCUCGCAGACAGACUCCGAUGAUUUAUGCACUGGGGAUAUUCGUUUUCAACUCUAAAUUGCGUGAUUGACAGGCCUAAGUGGAUGACAGUUGUUUGACAACUCGGCCCAAUUGCACUACUAUAGCUUGUAACAUUAACUAAGGAACGAUUUUUCCGUAACGCUUGACAAAUUCCACUGCCACAUGCUCACCCCGAGAUUGAUACUUUUCUAAAUUAGAAUCUUGAAAUGGACACGCUACAAAUUAUAUGUAUGUGGAGUGGAUUUUGUUGAAGUGCUAAAGGUUUCCAUUUCCAAUUUACAUCAAUUAUAGUCACAGGAACUGGAAAUGGUUCGGUUUUUACAAGAAACAGCUAAAUUCAUUUUUCUGAGUGUUUGCAUGCCAUUUGCUGGCCGCAAAAUUUCUCACGUAACUCAUACUUGGCAUGUCCUACUAUGUGUUUGUACACGUAAUAGGCUUUUGGGGCAUCAAGAAAAUAAAGAAAUGAAAAUGCGAGGGGAGAGGUUGGUGGAAACAGCUUGCAAAGUGUCGUCAUGGCCAGUUGAUGGAACAAAGUUACUAAACACAUCGCACUCGGGCGGGAAUCGAAUUCGGAAUCGGAGUACAUGUGUCCGCACAUGUACGUACACAUGUCGGGCAUCAGCUCGCCAGUUCUCCAGCUCUCCAGCUCACCAGCUCGCCAGUUUACCAGCUCUUGAAUGCGCGGCGGCGACAAAGCCGGGACAGAAAAAGUGGACAGGAAGGCGAACGGAACGAUGCAGGCGCAUACAGUUGGGUGACCGACCAACCGACCGACCGGCUUAGUUCGAGCCAGCCACUCUGCCACUCUGACAUUCUGGCCAUCUAGCAUUCCGCCAGCAGUUCCACUUGAGGUGGCCCAAAGCCUGGGACAGCCACUGAUGCAUUGACAAUAAUUGCUCGGGGUUUCCAGGGCCAGCAGAUCUAAUCUGACCCUGAUUUGUAGCGGAAUAUCAGCCAGUUUCUUUGUCAUAUGCAGUGAUGGGAAAGCAAAUACUUCUUUCAAUCCCAUUAUACAGUGUUUAUACGCUAAGAACUACUUUAAGAUGCCAGAUAUAUAUGAAAAUAAGGUCACUCUUAUCACUAAGCGAAGAAUUGGAUGUAAAUAAUAGAAUUUGUUCCUCUUUAGUUUAAACAAAGGCAGUAAGAUUAUAGAACUUUAACAAA